rnacentral:rRNA from 1 species
AUACCGGCCAGAGACCGAUAGCGCACAAGUAGAGUGAUCGAAAGAUGAAAAGCACUUUGAAAAGAGGGUUAAACAGCACGUGAAAUUGUUAAAAGGGAAGCGCUUGUGACCAGACUUGCGUCCGGUGAAUCACCCAGCUCUCGCGGCUGGGGCACUUCGCCGGCUCAGGCCAGCAUCAGCUCGCUGUCGGGGACAAAAGCUUCAGGAACGUAGCUCUCUUCGGGGAGUGUUAUAGCCUGUUGCAUAAUACCCUUCGGCGGGCUGAGGUACGCGCUCCGCAAGGAUGCUGGCAUAAUGGUCAUCAGCGACCCGUCUUGAAACACGG